ensembl:lncRNA
CCAGUCCGCCUCCCAAUGCUGAGAAAUGUGCUGUGCUCAGCAUUUCUGUGCUGAUGCCGCCGCAUCCAUGGUCGAAAAGGCGGGCGGCUGCAGCAGCCACAGCAGCAGUUGCUCUAGGGGUUAGAAAUCAGAUCGCAGCAUUUCUACCUCAUUUGGCAGCAGAAGUCCCGGGUCACAAGGAAGAUGAGGUUCUAGUCCAGAAGCUGCUGGGCUUUGUCACUCUGAAGGUGGGCUCACCGUUUAAGGCGUUCCCACUCAGGCCUGCAGAGCCUGUUACAAAACCAUCUCUCUGCUCCCCUCCCCCCAUGCCGCAAGAUGAG